rnacentral:rRNA from 1 species
UACGAAGGGGACUAGCGUUGUUCGGAAUUACUGGGCGUAAAGCGCACGUAGGCGGAUUUGUUAGUCAGGGGUGAAAUCCCGGGGCUCAACCUCGGAACUGCCUUUGAUACUGCAAAUCUCGAGUCCGAUAGAGGUGGGUGGAAUUCCUAGUGUAGAGGUGAAAUGCGUAGAGAUGUGGAGGAACACCGGUGGCGAAGGCGGCAUCCUGGACCGGUAUUGACGCUGAGGAGCGAAAGCGUGGGGAGCAAACAGG